UACGAAGGGGGCUAGCGUUGCUCGGAAUUACUGGGCGUAAAGGGUGCGUAGGCGGGUCUUUUAAGUCAGAGGUGAAAUCCUGGAGCUCAACUCCAGAACUGCCUUUGAUACUGAGGAUCUUGAGUUCGGGAGAGGUGAGUGGAACUGCGAGUGUAGAGGUGAAAUUCGUAGAUAUUCGCAAGAACACCAGUGGCGAAGGCGGCUCACUGGCCCGAUACUGACGCUGAGGAGCGAAAGCGUGGGGAGCGAACAGG
rnacentral:rRNA from 1 species